AAUCUCCAAUCAUAUGCAACGGACGGACAGACAGCUCAUUCUGCAGCAAAGGGACACCAAUUUGUCAAUUUCACAUCCCCCACAACCCAUAUACUCACCCAUCAUCUUGUCCCCCUCAUUUGCUUCAACCCCAGCACGCACGCACUCGUGUGCCCUCUCGAUCACAAACUGCAAAAAAUGAGUCCCCCAAUCAUGGCGCGCAAGAACUGAUUCUAGUUCUGCGACGAUCAGCGGAGUUUGGCGAUCUAGCUUGAUUACUCCUGCAGCUCUGCUUCUGGGCUUUAAUGGGUGAGUUAGUUUAAGUAACCUGUUCUUCUUUCGUUGAAUUCGGCAUUGUUCUGCGCAUUUUGUAUGAUUUGUUUGUUUGUUUUGGUCAUACUGGCGUAUACUUCUGCAGUUCCUAGCACAACAUUCCAUGUAGAUUUGUUUUCAUGGCUGCCCUUUUUUACUCCUCCCUUUCCCUCUCCUUGAUUUGGACAGUUUGAACCCCAUUUGAACUUGUGGUCCUACAGUGAUCUUCUCUGCUCUGUUCGUACUGUAAAGAAACCCAGCGAUCUUUCGCCGGAUACAAGUAUAAAUCCUCGGUUUCCUUCAACACUGUACCUCCAGUUCUUGGUGUGCUGAUCGAUUAACAAUUUGAAGGAUAUUUUGGUGCAUCAGUUCCCAUAGAUUUGUGAAUCGUGAGGAUCUUUCUCUGUAUCAAUGGAGAUCAUGAGAGAUGCUGCUUCUCAUUCUUUAAGUGUUUUCUCUUCUUGAAGAGAUGUGAGGGGGUCACAUCGUAAGCUUGCUUUUGCUGGGAUUCUUGAUGCUGCUUCUUAUUCCUUCCACUAAAGCUGCCCAUCUUCUUCCUCCUUUUGCUUUCUCCCUUUGAUCAGUUCGAUGUCCGCAAGAUUCAUCCAAAGCCGUGCCCGAAGCAGCAGUUGUUGCUGAUUCCAUCCCAUUCCACACAAACACCCAUCAUUGAUCGAUCUUGCUGCUGUCCAUGUUGGCCAAAAGCAAUUCCCAAAUCCCAAUGCAAAUCCAAGAAGUAGCGAUUCUUUUGAUGUGUCGUCACUGUCGCCACUGUGACUGUCCAUACAAGAGCUCACAUUGUUGCUGCUGCUCGUGUUGUUCUUGCCAAGAAGGAGGAGGAGGAGGAGCGGCGGCGGCGGCGGCGGCGUUGAGGCGGCCACCGCGAUGCUGAGGCGCGGCGCGGUGGUGGUGGACAGAGACGGUGAGGUGGUCGUCGCGACCAAGAUCCGGAAGCGGUGCGCGCUGUCGUCGUCCGGCGCGUCGGACCCGCUGAGGAAGCUGAGGCUGAAGAAGCGAGGGGUGGUGGUGCUCGGCCGGAGAGGCGUGGGCGGCGGCGGCGGCGUCGUGUUGUCGCCGUGGUCGAGCAGGAAGAUGUCGGAGUCGUCGUGGAACGGCA
rnacentral:lncRNA from 1 species